CACGGGGGGAGCAAGCGUUGUUCGGAAUCACUGGGCGUAAAGGGCGUGUAGGCGGUCAAGUAAGUGGAAUGUGAAAUGCCCCGGCUCACCCGGGGAUCUGCAUCCCAAACUGCUUGGCUUGAGUAUGGGAGAGGAUGAGGGAAUUCCUGGUGUAGCGGUGAAAUGCGUAGAUAUCAGGAGGAACACCGGUGGCGAAGGCGGGUCUCUGGGCCGAUACUGACGCUGAGGAGCGAAAGCGUGGGGAGCGAACAGG
rnacentral:rRNA from 1 species